rnacentral:sRNA from 1 species
AUGUAUUGUGUGCAGGUUUCCUGUGUGUAUGUGCGCUUGUGUGUGUUCAUUUAACCGUAAACAGACGCAUGCCAACGCCAGUCAACACAAAUGACCUCCAAAGUGCUGCUCACAUGAUCACGGCGUCUCCGUUUCUCUAUUGCUGUUGUUUCAUUUGGCAAAACAGGCAGAGAGAGAGAGAUGUGACGAAAUAAUAACCGCUGCUGCAAUUGCAAACAAAAAAAAAAGGCCAAUUGACAGACGUUUCUUUGGACAGUAAUGAAACUGCAACAACAGCCAACAGUUGAGGUCUAUGGUAGGAAAGAAGCGUUUGGAGUUGCAAAGACAAACACACACACAGUCGGUCAAGCGAUGCGUUUUUACUGUGCCGCACGUCGAUGACGGCACGUAAAAUACACUUACACAUACGCUUAUACUUAUACAUAUUUAUGUAUAUACAUAUACAUGUGUCUGUACAUGUGUAUAUGUUCACGCAAAGAUUGGGAGUCCAACACCAACAAACAGAAUUUGUGAGGCGAGCCCCACGAAUGUGUCAGAAGACAGGACCAUUAAAAACCAAAAAAUUACAUGCCGAGCGCUCAUAUACUCAAAGAGGAACACAAAGACGACAAUUUGGUUGAAUUUCGGCGACGGCGAACAGCUAUGCAAACUUGUGCGCUUUAUAUGUAUGUAUGUACAUGUGUUCUGAGAAUAAACUGUUAUACUGAAA